GUGGCCGUAGCUCAGUUGGUAGAGCACAGGAUUGUGGCUCCUGGUGUCGUGGGUUCGAUCCCCAUCGGCCACCCCA
rnacentral:tRNA from 1 species